rnacentral:lncRNA from 1 species
GUCGUAAAAGGGGACGCGGAGGAGAAGGAAAGUCGCUCAAGCAGUGGACAGAGCGGAGAAAGCGACUUCGGGUUGGUUGAAGGUUCAGCCUGAGAAAACUCCUGAGCAUGUGCGAAAAAGAAAAGAAGAAAAGAAAAGUAAAGAAAAGAAAAAAGGAAAAAGGGCAAGCUCCUGAGUGGAUCUCUCAGGGAGCCACCAGACAGCCGCAGAGAGAAGAAGCUGCCCAAGAAUGGAAAGGAAGAAAUAUAUCACAUCAUCUGUCUGUCCACAGGCUUUCCUUGGGGCUUAUGAAGUGAAUGAAGGAGGGAAGAAAGGAGAGACAGAGAAAAUAUGGAUUUCCUCAUGGUUGUGAUUCCUCUUCACUCUUUUGAAUUUGGAAGGAUGGCAUACACAUCUGAAAAAUACCACUACUUCCUUCAUUGGACUGCAAGGUAUUUCUGUUUGGAAAAGUAAUGGAGUCCAGUCAACUUCAUUGAUCGCCAAGGACUGUCAAAAUUAUAAAACUUGCUGUGGAGCUCUGACAUGCCAGAAGCCGCUAGAAAAAGAAGUUUGACAUUCAGAAACUUAUCAAGAGGUUCUACUCUUUGGAUAGAGACCAAAAUCAUACUUUGAAAAAGCCUGACAGGUUUCUUCGGAAAAGUGGCCAUCCAUGGAAUGAAUGAAAUGUUCUCUUUCUAUUCCAGGGAUUGCAGUGGCAAAGCUAGGCUAGGUCUUGGAGGCUGGUGUAAGGCGAUGUGGGUGAAGGCAGGAGGCUGAUGGAAAGACUGGGGGGAAGAAAAGCCGAAAUGGAUUCACGGUGCCUUGGAUGAAGGACGAGAGGGGAACUGCAAGCUCCUUCAACUGGUUCUGUCCGGUGAGAAGUGAUCAAGCUUGGGCUGACAAGAGGCUCAGGGAGCCCUCACGUUCUUUCGCUUUUUUACCUGCCAAUCAAACUGCUACAAGACAACACCCUGAUCUGGCAUGGACAUCGCGGGUCCAAGCCUGUAGCCCCAAAUCGGAUAAUCUCUGCAGCUGAUAACAAGCAAAAGAGAAGCCAGGCAACAGCCAUAUUAAAGAAGAAAACAAUCAACUCUGAGGAUGGCUGCCAGGGAAUAGAUGAAAGGCAGAAGUGGCGAUGGGUGACUGAUGUGGCACACUUAUGAAGAAAAGCCUCUUUUUCCAUGCUUGUUUUUCCUCCCCAAGGAGCCAACAGAGUUUCUAUUCUCCAACUCUGCUCUUCACCUUACCCAAGUCAUUGCAGUCACCUGGAGUCACGGAAAUGACCAUGAUUGCCUGAACUUUCAUGACUUCUGUGGAUAACUGUGGUUGCAGAAAAGAGAAAACCUGGACCGUGAGGGACAUUUCACUCCCUGGGCUUUGGUACAUGAGUCUUGCUGUGAUGCCCAGGCUGCUGGAGUGCAAUGGUGUGAUCUCUGCUCACUGCAACCUUUGAUUCCUGGGUUCAAGAGAUUCUCCUGCCUCAGCCUCCGAGUAGCUGGGACUACAGGCAUGUGUCACCACACCCGGCUAAUUUUUGUAUUUUUAGCAGAGACAGGGUUUCACCAUAUUGGCCAGACUGGUCCUGAACUCCUGACCUCAAGUGAUCUGCCUGCCUCGGGCUCCCAAAGUGCUGGGAUCACAGGCGUGAGCCACCGCACCUGGCUUCUUACUCCUUUUAACAACUUGAUGAGUCUCAAUACCUUCACAGAGGUGAAGAAGCAGCAACCAAAUGAAUUAGACAGCAACAUGAUUCCUAGAGAAUGGCAAGACCAAUUCUUCAACUACUUCUUCAGCAUUUCUGAAACAUAUGGAAGAUGGCCCAUUGUGCUCUCUUAAUUCUUUGAUAAUCUGGACAUUGACUUUUCCAUUAUAUGACCUGGGCUUGUGGGCAUCAUGUCAUAAUGCACCUGUUCAGACAUCUCCCUGUACCAAUAUGGAUCACUUGAAGAGACUCCUUUGCCCCCAUCAAAAAGGAUACAGUUGUGUAUCUCUUCCAUUUUUGUUUACAGUGCCUAAAAUUAUUUGAGCAGUUUUUCACCUCUUCUCUGAUAAACACCUUAUUAGUCCUUAAAAAGAAAAGAAAAAAGGAAAAUAAAACUUUUAUUGAGAUCCUAA